rnacentral:rRNA from 1 species
GACGAACGCUGGCGGCGUGACUAAUACAUGCAAGUCGAACGCAGUGGGGACGGGUGAGUAACACGUGGGUAACCUCCCAUCAGAGGGGAUAACACUUGGAAACAGGUGCUAAACCGAUACUGAUGGAUGGACCCGCGGUGCAUUAUCUAGUUGGUGAGGUAACGGCUCACCAAGGCCACGAUGCAUAACCGACCGGAGAGGGUGUACGGCCACACUGGAACUGAGACACGGCCCAGACGCCUACGUGAGGCAGCAGUAGUGAAUCUUCGGCAAUGGACGAAAGUCUGACCGAGCAACGCCGCGUGAGUGAAGAAGGUUUUCGGAUCGUAAAACUCUGUUGUCAGAUAGGCUUUAUCUAUCCAGCAAGCCACGGCUAACUACGUGCCUGCAGCCGCGGUAAUUC